CCUUACUAGGGAUUCAGAGCCUGCCCAAGUAGCAUGUCGCCUCACUGCAUGACAUCAAAUGACACGUGAAUGGUGAUAGUGACCUGAGGACAGAAGAUCCCUAGGAGAAUUGUUUUCACGUUGUGUUUGAGAAGCACAGCUGUGGCAGAUGUACGAGCAAAGGGCUCUGCGAACUCAUAGGAGGGAACAGCUAUCUUCAAAAAGACAAUGGCUGGAAAGCUAUAUCAAAGCCUGAAGGCAGCAUAUGAUGAGACAUUGUCCACAUCAGCUUACCUCUUCACAAAGGUACUGCAGAUCCUGAAAAGAAUGGUGAAGAAAGGGCCGGGGGACAUGGUGAUUAAGAAGCUCUCCGGACGCCUGAGUGGCUCAGCCGUUGAAUGUCUAACUUCUGCUCAAGGUGUGAUCCAAGGGCCCCUGAUCCAGUAGCAUAUCCA